UUCUUUUGUGUUGAUUGAACCCUCAAACCGAGUUGUUUGCAAAUUUUUCCUUUUGCUUAUGUCUAAGUAGGGAACAUUAUUGAAUAAAUUUGGUUUUGGAAUCUAAAGUUGGGGAGAGUAAAGUAAAAAGAGUUAAUUAGAAACUUGGAGAAGUGAAUUUUUAUGAAAGGGUGAAAAUAUGAAAAGAAAUAAGAAAAAUAAAUCACCCUUGAAACCAUAGAGCAAAGAAUAAAGAAAAGAAAAG
rnacentral:lncRNA from 1 species